AUACGCAGGGAGCGAGCGUUGUCCGGAUUUACUGGGUGUAAAGGGUGCGUAGGCGGGAUAGCAAGUCAGACGUGAAAUACCGAGGCUUAACUUCGGGGCUGCGUUUGAAACUGUUAUUCUUGAGUGAAGUAGAGGCAGGCGGAAUUCCUAGUGUAGCGGUGAAAUGCGUAGAUAUUAGGAGGAACACCAGUGGCGAAGGCGGCCUGCUGGGCUUUAACUGACGCUGAGGCACGAAAGCAUGGGGAGC
rnacentral:rRNA from 1 species